UGUGUUUUGGAUUUUGGCCCCUUGUGUGAUUGAGUUUGACAUCCAUCCUUUAAAUAUUUCUUUAUUUAACUCCACCCUAUCUGUGAUUAGGCUCUUUUAUUUUCAAGUGGAGACGUGAACAUUUUGGUGACUUUCUCCUCAUUUAGAAACAAAACGUCAAAACUUGUGGUCAAACAGAGUUUGUGAAACUAUGGCCAAAAACAAGCAGCCAAACUCUGGUCCUCGAGGUCUACCAUCCUGGUUGUUGUCUAGCCGUCCCUGAGGGCUGCAGAACACCUGGAUCAGGUAAACAAAGUUUAACCCUUAAGGUUAGAACUGAAAACCCAGAAGCGGCCCUGAGUCCAUCCGGACGGCGCUCACCUGUUCGAUGAAGGACAGCAGAGCCUCGCGGUUGUUCUCCCACUCCAGCGGCAGCUCGCUCUCGUGGGGAAACUUGUCACAUCCCAGGAAGAUGGAGAGCUCGAAACAGUUUGUGUGCAGGUAACUGAAGUCGUUCAUGCCUGAGAGAGAAGCAUGUUCUCGUCAUCGAAGCAUCUGGAGACCCUGACCAAUCCGGAGUCCAGGAUUAGUUUUUGAUUUGAUUUUUAUGCCGAACUCUUUGACAGAUUGUCGUUGACAAAUAAUUGCUGAUCUCAAAGGGUCCAUAUCUAGUUAAACAAAGGUUCAAAUAAGUCAAAAGGUCUUGACCCCAUCUGAGCCCAAAUCACCUGGAAGCAGAACAUUUCCAUCCGUUAAACAUGAGCUCAUGAACCGCUACAGAUUUAGUCCAUCUUCUCUCCUGGUUGUUUACCGUCCAAAAUCGUUGUAGUUUUAUGUUUAUUUAAAGUGUAAUCAAUAGUAAGUGCCCACUUACUGCCCACCGCCGGCUUCCAGGCCGCUCUGUUGGUGAUGCCCUGCCCACCGGUGACGUCAUCGCCGUGACAGGAUCCUCGGUAGGUCUCCGUCAUGGUCAGGUGACUGUGGGCGUACGACAUGGCCAGCCAGCGGAACAUGGCGUCGUCCGGCGUCUCCCUCAGGGCUCCGGUGUUCUGCCGCUGGAUGCGGGCCCACGUUUCCUCGUUCAUCUCCGAGUUCACCCUCCAGCGCCGGUUGUCUGUGAGCUUGGACACCAAGGUUGGCCCCCAACACAAACGGGUUCCUCUCCAUCCAGGAAAUGAUGGCUCUGGUCUCCACUGCCAGCUGGAACGACGGGAUAGAAGGUCAAACCUGUUUGAAGGUCCAGAUUUCACGUGCUGUCGACAAACGGACUCACAGAACCGUUGAAGAAGUUUUCUGGUAUGGGGAUGUGAUGAUUCGGAACGAUCCGGGGAACCCAGCCCCGGUCCUCUGCGCCCCAUAAUAUGCUGUUCAGGUCUGGGAAGUUCUCAAAGAUGUCGUAACCUUCUUCAGUCCAGUGGCCCAAAGCCCAGUUUCCCAUCUCAGAACCCUGUGGCACAGCAGAACCACGUGAGGAGGUGAAGAAAACUGACAGAGAAGAGGAAAAAAAAAA